UCGAGGAUCUUUAGCAAUGGGCGAAAGCCUGACUAUGCGACGCCGCGUGGACGAUGAAGGCCUUCGGGUCGUAAAGUCCUGUCAGGUGGGAUGAAUACCUGCAACCUAAUACGUUGCAGGGGUGACAGUACCACCAGAGGAAGCCACGGCUAACUCCGUGCCAGCAGCCGCGGUAAUACGGAGGUGGCUAGCGUUACUCGGAUUUACUGGGUGUAAAGGGUGUGUAGGCGGGCUUGUAAGUCAGGCGUGAAAGCCCUUGGCUCAACCAAGGAACUGCGCUUGAAACUACUUGUCUUGAGGGUGGGAGAGGAGAACGGAAUUCCCGGUGUAAGGGUGAAGUCUGUAGAGAUCGGGAGGAACACCAGUGGCGAAAGCGGUUCUCUGGCCCAUUUCUAACGCUGAAAUACGAAAGCUUGGGGAGCAAACAGG
rnacentral:rRNA from 1 species